UAGCCUAGUGGUUAAGGCUAUGGAUCCCCAAUCCGGAGACGGCGGGUUCGAUUCCCGU
rfam:Aedes albopictus isolate Foshan contig25444, whole genome shotgun sequence.